rnacentral:tRNA from 1 species
UGGGGUGUAACUCGGUGGGGUACUUGCCUUGCAUGCAGGAAGUCCUAGGUUCAAUUCCUAGGACCCAAU